rnacentral:rRNA from 1 species
AACGAACGCUGGCGGCAGGCCUAACACAUGCAAGUCGAGCGAAGCCUUCGGGCUUAGCGGCGGACGGGUGAGUAACGCGUGGGAACGUGCCCUUUGGUACGGAAUAGCCCCGGGAAACUGGGAGUAAUACCGUAUGUGGUCGAGAGACGAAAGAUUUAUCGCCAAAGGAUCGGCCCGCGUUGGAUUAGGUAGUUGGUGGGGUAAUGGCCUACCAAGCCGACGAUCCAUAGCUGGUUUGAGAGGAUGAUCAGCCACACUGGGACUGAGGCACGGCCCAGACUCCUACGGGAGGCAGCAGUGGGGAAUCUUAGACAAUGGGGGAAACCCUGAUCUAGCCAUGCCGCGUGAUCGAUGAAGGCCUUAGGGUUGUAAAGAUCUUUCAGUGGGGAAGAUAAUGACUGUACCCACAGAAGAAGCCCCGGCUAACUCCGUGCCAGCCGCCGCAGUAAGAC